rnacentral:misc_RNA from 1 species
GACGAACUGUGCAAACGUUAUUCGGAAUCACUGGGCUUAAAGAGCGCGUAGGCGGCGCUGUAAGUUGGAGGUGAAAUCCCACGGCUCAACCGUGGAACUGCCCCCAAUACUGCAGCGCUUGAGGAAGGUAGGGGUUUGCGGAACUUCCGGUGGAGCGGUGAAAUGUGUUGAGAUCGGAAGGAACGCCAGCGGCGAAAGCGGCAAACUGGAUCUUCUCUGACGCUGAGGCGCGAAAGCUAGGGGAGCGAACGGG